rnacentral:rRNA from 1 species
GAUGAACGCUGGCGGCGUGCCUAAUACAUGCAAGUCGAGCGAACGGACGAGAAGCUUGCUUCUCUGAUGUUAGCGGCGGACGGGUGAGUAACACGUGGAUAACCUACCUAUAAGACUGGGAUAACUUCGGGAAACCGGAGCUAAUACCGGAUAAUAUUUUGAACGGCAUGGUUCAAAAGUGAAAGACGGUCUUGCUGUCACUAAUAGAUGGAUCCGCGCUGCAUUAGCUAGUUGGUAAGGUAACGGCUUACCAAGGCAACGAUGCAUAGCCGACCUGAGAGGGUGAUCGGCCACACUGGAACUGAGACACGGUCCAGACUCCUACGGGAGGCAGCAGUAGGGAAUCUUCCGCAAUGGGCGAAAGCCUGACGGAGCAACGCCGCGUGAGUGAUGAAGGUCUUCGGAUCGUAAAACUCUGUUAUUAGGGAAGAACAUAUGUGUAAGUAACUGUGCACAUCUUGACGGUACCUAAUCAGAAAGCCACGGCUAACUACGUG